CAGGCUGCAACUCGCCUGCACGAAGUCGGAAUUGCUAGUAAUCGUAGGUCAGCAUACUACGGUGAAUACGUUCCCGGGCCUUGUACACACCGCCCGUCAAACCAUGAGAGUUGGCAACACCCGAAGUCGGUAGUCUAACCGCAAGGAGGACGCCGCCGAAGGUGGGGUUNAUGAUUAGGGUUAAGUCGUAACAAGGUAAC
rnacentral:rRNA from 1 species